AAUGAACGUUGGCGGCGUGGAUUAGGCAUGCAAGUCGAGCGAGAACUAGUAGCAAUACUGGGGAAAGCGGCGAAAGGGAGAGUAAUACGUAGGUACCUACCCUCGGGUCUGGGAUAGCUGCGGGAAACUGCAAUUAAUACCGGAUGACGUCUCUGGACCAAAGGUGUGAUUCCGCCAGGGGAUGGGCCUGCGUCCUAUUAGCUAGUUGGCGGGGUAACGGCCCACCAAGGCUAAGAUGGGUUCGGGGUGUGAGAGCAUGCCCCCGCUCACUGGGACUGAGACACUGCCCAGACACCUACGGGUGGCUGCAGUCGAGGAUCUUCCGCAAUGGGCGCAAGCCUGACGGAGCGACGCCGCGUGCGGGAUGAAGGCCUUCGGGUUGUAAACCGCUGUCAGUGGGGAGCAAAUGCAUCAGGGUUCUCCCUGGUGUUUGAGCGAUCCGCAGAGGAAGCACAGGCUAAUUCCGUGCCAGCCGCCGCGGUAA
rnacentral:rRNA from 1 species